GGCCAGACUCCUACGGGAGGCAGCAGUGGGGAAUAUUGCACAAUGGGGGGAACCCUGAUGCAGCGACGCCGCGUGGGUGAAGAAGUCAUUCGUGACGUAAAGCUCUAUCAGCAGGGAAGAAAAUGACGGUACCUGACUAAGAAGCCCCGGCUAACUACGUGCCAGCAGCCGCGGUAAUACGUAGGGGGCAAGCGUUAUCCGGAAUUACUGGGUGUAAAGGGAGCGCAGACGGCAGUGCAAGUCUGGAGUGAAAGCCCGUGGCUUAACUACGGGACUGCUCUGGAAACUGUGCAGCUAGAGUGCAGGAGAGGCAGGCGGAAUUCCUAGUGUAGCGGUGAAAUGCGUAGAUAUUAGGAGGAACACCGGUGGCGAAGGCGGCCUGCUGGACGACAACUGACGGUGAGGCGCGAAAGCGUGGGGAGCAAACAGGAUUAGAUACCCUCGUA
rnacentral:rRNA from 1 species